GGGGAUUUAGCUCAGUGGUAGAGCGCUUGCCUCGGAAGCGUAAGGCCCUGGGUUCGGUCCCCAGCUCA
rnacentral:tRNA from 1 species